GAUUGUUAAACACUGCAUUUGUUUACACCCCGAAUCUUGAAUCACAAUGGGGCAGCUUGGGCUGCCCAGGCCCGGCGAGGCCGGGCUUUCUCCUAGACACUGAAGUCUGUUCUCCGACCCAAGGGACACAAGAAAAUUUGGGGUUUUCAGGGCUGUGGUUGUGAAGAAGAUCAAGACCCAUGAUGGGAAGCUGGUAUCCAAGUCCUCUGACGUCCUGCUCAAGUGAACAGCCACAGCAGCCCCUCCCAGCCUAUCCUUCCUGCAGCUGCCCCAGAGCCCAUGAGAAAAGCCACUGCGCAGGGGAGCACAGGGAACAGGAGACCCACCUGAGGCUCAGCCCUAUCCCUAAGCCCACAUAGGGGAGUUUACUCUCUGG
rnacentral:lncRNA from 10 species